rnacentral:rRNA from 1 species
GACGUAGGCGCGAGCGUUGGUCCGGAUUUCGAUUGGUGCGUAAAGAGCUCGUAGGCGGCUUGUUGCGUCGGCUGUGAAAUCCCGUGGCUUAACUGCGGGCUUGCGAGCCGAUACGGGCAGACUGGAGUACUGCAGGGGGAGACUGGAAUUCCUGGUGUAGCGGUGGAAUGCGCAGAUAUCGAGGAGGAACACCGGUGGCGAAGGCAGCUCACUGGGACGGUAUUGACGCUGAGACGCGAAAGCGUGGGGAGCAAACAGG